rfam:Hordeum vulgare subsp. vulgare, WGS project CAJW01000000 data, contig: morex_contig_40487
UAAAUGCUACCUCCGUCCGGAAAUACUUGUCCUAAAGAUGAAUGUAUCUAGACUUAUUUUAAUUGUAGAUACAUUCAUUAUAUGCAUUUUUAGAACAAGUAUUUUCGAACGGAGGGAGUAUAAG